CACGUAGGGGACGAGCGUUGUCCGGAUUCAUUGGGCGUAAAGCGCGCGUAGGCGGCUCGGAAAGUCGGGCGUGAAAUGCCGGGGCUCAACCCCGGGACUGCGUCCGAUACUUCCGAGCUGGAGGUAGGUAGGGGAGAUCGGAAUUCCUGGUGUAGCGGUGAAAUGCGCAGAUAUCAGGAGGAACACCGGUGGCGAAGGCGGAUCUCU
rnacentral:rRNA from 1 species